rnacentral:lncRNA from 1 species
AUUUUACUUCGGAUCAGUGUAGUACCUAUCAGGGAAGCUACAUAUAUUUUUCUCAACUAUGGCUAUGCACAAAAGAUCAUCAAAUUUAUUUAAAUUUGACUGCAAAACAUGCUACUAGUUUUAUAGAAAUUUUUGAUCAUUAUUUUAUUUUUAUUAUUUUUAAUAUAACAAAUAUAUUUUUUAAUAUAAAAGUUUAUAAAUUUAUUAUUGUGGCUGUAUUAGAGAGAUCAUCUGUAGAUCUACAACAUAUCAUGAGAUCAUGCCAAAAUCCAAAGUUUUAGCACGAUCUCUCCUCAUUCUCCAUUUGUUGCUAAUUUUCAGCUUGAAAAAGAAAAAACAGAGAGAAAAGGGAAGGGGAGAAGGCUCGUUACCUAUUUUAAGUUGGAUCUAGGCUGAAAUCAAUGAACCCUUGAUUUUUUUGGAUUGAAAAAAUAUUAGAGGUGAGGUAGAGAAAGCAUGGGAGGCCUUCGACCUCCUUGAUAAUUUAAGGGUGACAGAGGGUGGAACCGCCCUAAAUCAGCUCGAUUCGGGGCUGUACUAUUUGGUUGGGGCUUGAACCGAGCGAUUUGGUCUCUGUUCCAAAUACCAUCCCAGUUUAGGAUGCCUCGAACUAGGUGGUUUGGCCUUCCAUGGUUAGCAUAGCUUUCCUACAAGAAACUAUAUGGAUAGGAGAAAAAGCAAAAGAAGUUGGUAAAUAAGAUUAUAAACUUUGGUAAUAGGGGAAGAUAGAAAUCAAUUAGAUACGAAUUUAACUGCUAGGGUUGUAGAUAUUAAGAGAGUAGAAGAUAGAAAAUCUUGAUAAAACUGGUGUUUGGAGAGAAAUCUGUUAAUAUCAUUAAUGGUUAUGCUUUUUAAAUAGGAUUAUAUGAUGCUACAGCACAGAGGCUCAGACUCUCACGAACAUACCUUUGGGUGAGAAGUUCGUCAACUUGACGUUUCAGUUCAGUGUGCUCGUUUGGGUUAAGCCUAUGAUGAGGAAGAUUGGGUAAGGAUGCUCCGGGAACGAGAUCAAUUUCGUGCUGGAUAUCACGCAUCAAAGGAAGUGUAUCUGGAAGAUCCUUAGGAAAAACAGAGUAAAACUCCUCCAGCAGAGGAACUACUGCCGGUGGGUGCUCAGGGCUCGACUCCACAUUGAUAACCUUAGUCACGAGGGCAAACACAGGUGAUUGGCUUUCGAUAUCUUUCAUUACCUCUUUCGAAGUAAUGAUGUGAAGUGAUUCAUCUUUUCGUAGAGUGACACUCUUCUUUUCAGGGGCGGACUCUCUAGGAGGCAAUGAGUUCAGUAUAAUUUUCGACCCUGGAACAUAAAGCUACACGAAUUCGAACGCCCAUGAAGUGUGACGUCCAUAUCGUAUAACCAAGGCCUCCCUAGGAUGACUUGACCUACGUCCAUCGAAAUGCAGUCGCACCAGAUUUUGUCUUUAUAGGAUAGGAAUUGAAUCGUGACGAGGCAUCUUUCUGACACCGAAAGAGAUGUCUUAUCUACCCAAGCUACUUUAUAUGGGUUGGGAUGAGGGGUAGAUUUCAGGCCGAGGCGGGAGACAACUCCGG